rnacentral:misc_RNA from 1 species
AGAAUUGGUAGCUGAUAUGAAGUCCCAGAUUCUAGAUCUAACAAGCAACCUUAAAUUAGAAAUUCCAAUUGCUUCUUUGACAACUAAAAAUAAUGAAAAAUGAGGAUAAAACAGUUCAUAAUUCUAAAAGCAAAAGUUAGCCAUUCAACAAUAUAAGAAGAUAAAUAACUCACGCAUUUACCAGCGUAAUAACUUUUCACCAUUAUUCAAUAUCCAAUAACAUCAAUUAAUAGACUACUGUAGAAGAGACCAACAUCAUGUCUACCAUUUAAUGAAUCCAGAUUCUCAAUAAAAUCAUAAUCCAUGUAGGAAUAAAAAUUCAAACAUCCUUUAAAAACAGCACAUUUUUACCUUAGAAAUUUAUUAGAUCAAAAAGUAAAAGCAGAAAAACAUGUACACACAUAUGGAGCACAUUACUUCUGCAGGCAGAAAGCAUUAGCAAUGCGCAUUUUAUAUUCUGAUAUUGCACAUCGGUAAACAGAAAAUAGCAUAAAAAAUCAACAAAAUACAAUGUGCUUGGUAAUCAGAUUGUUUCUGUCGUUUGGCCGUUCAAAAAAAUAUGUAGUACUGGUGCUCCUUAAAUAU